rnacentral:lncRNA from 1 species
UUAGUGAUGAGGACGAUGAUGAUGAUGAUGAUGAAGAUGAUACAGAGGCACUUUUAGCAGAGCUUGAACAAAUCAAGAAGGAACGAGCCGAGGAAAAACUACGCAAAGUGAGUUGGUCUUUCUUAAACAUAUUAUUAUUAUUAUUUAUUAUUAUGUUUUUUCUUUAAUAAGAAUCUUUUCCUCACUUGAGAUUUGUUUAAUUAUAUAUGACAUGGAUUUGGUUUGUACAGGAACGUGAAGAGCAAGAAGAGGAGCUUAAACUGAAAGAGGCUGAGUUGAUAAGAGGGAACCCUUUGCUUAAUAAUCCAACUUCCACUUCCUUCAAUGUUAAACGAAGGU